GACGAACGCUGGCGGCGUGCUUAACACAUGCAAGUCGUACGGUAAGGCCCUUUCGGGGGUACACGAGUGGUGAACGGGUGCGUAACACGUGAGUAACCUGCCCACAACUUUGGGAUAACGCUAGGAAACUGGUGCUAAUACUGGAUAUGUGCUCCUGCUGCAUGGUGGGGGUUGGAAAGCUCCGGCGGUUGUGGAUGGACUCGCGGCCUAUCGGCUUGUUGGUGGGGUAGUGGCCUACCAAGGCGGCGAGGGGUAGCCGGCCUGAGAGGGUGACCGGCGACAUUGGGACUGAGAGACGGCCCAGACUCCUACGGGAGGCAGCAGUGGGGAAUAUUGCACAAUGGGCGCCAGCCUGAUGCAGCAAGGCCGCGUGCGGGAUAACGGCCUUCGGGUUGAAGAACGCUUUCAGCAGGGACGAAGCUUUUUGUGACGGUACCUGCAGAAGAAGCACCGGCUAACUACGUG
rnacentral:rRNA from 1 species